rnacentral:pre_miRNA from 1 species
UUAACUCAAGUUUGUAUGGACUCGGAUAGGGUUCCUAAAUUUGCCGCUAGGGGCGCUGUUCCAACUGCAUACAAAUUUGAGUAA